rnacentral:siRNA from 1 species
GGUGGGUUAUGGUUCGACCCGU